AAUCGGCAAUAGUGAUGUCUUAUUGAUUUCGCUUUCUAAAAAUUAAAGAAGUAUGUGGCCUUUUCUUUUAGUUUGAAAGAGAGUAUACCUUUUUUUUUUUAGGUUGCAAUUCCACUUUUUUUUUUCUUUUUUUUUUUUUGUGCCCACUUUUUUUUUUUUUAUUCAUCUUCAAAACACCAUUACAUCUGAUUUGAGGUAGAAAUAGAGCCAUAAUUCCCUACUUAACUGAAAAAAGACUAAUUCUACCUAGUUACAUUUGAGAUGGGGUAAAUGCCUAAAAUUUGAGAUUUUGGCCAGCACCUUACUUUACAAAAUUUAUACACUUCUCAUGGAAGAUCAAAAAGCCUUUCAAGGCUCUAGCAACUUUUCUAGCACAGCCUUCACAGUGCAUAUCAAUCUUUAGCACUAUAUCUUGAGCCUCUUCUUCCUUUUUUCUUCUUUCUUCUCCUCUCUGAAUUUCCCUUCUCAUCAGCUCUUCUCCAGCUCCAGUACCUUGCUUCCCAUCUUUUCCAUUUCUGCUUUAAUCAUUUCCUCUUCACUGCUGCUUGUCCCCCUUGCAUCUUCCUGAUCUUCUUCCAGCUUCAACAAUUGGUUAUCAGUAUCCUCUUGGCCACAACCUAUUCAAGGGGAAUGGUACUCCACAAAAGUGGAGCUGGACAUCUGACAAUGAACCAGGCAUUGGUUUCCUUCAAAGAACAAAAACUUCUGCUUCAUAUACCUACGAGUCAUUUAUAUUGGAAGCUGAAAACUGCCCUACUUUAUUUGUUUCUUUGUUGUUUGGACAUGUUAUUGGGUCUGCUCCUGUUCUUUCAUUUGGCUGCUUGUUUGAUAUUUGGACCUUACUGCCCAUUUCAUCUGUUUUUAUAAGAUAUUAGUUACGGCUGAAGCCUUUGUUUUUGGACUGGAUAUUUCUUUGAAUUGACAUUAUACAUAUCUAGCCCUAUCCAUUGAUUAUGCACUAAUCCUUUUCUUUUCAUUUUUAUGCAUGACAUCUCGCAUACGAGUCCAAGCGACUCGUCAUCCUCCUCCGCAUUCGGUGUUGGGCUAAAAGCCCAACAAAAUCCUAUUGUGUCCAGCCCCCUGUCCGCAGCCGAACAAGAUAAAAUAAAAUCUGGGCCGAAGCCCAAUAGGUGACGAACAGUUCACAGCAACAUAUUAAGGCUGCUGGGCCGAAACCCAACAGUCAACAGACCACAGCAGUUUUGGAAAGUGGGUUGAGCCCAUUUAAAUCAUGUUACUCCUCCAUUUUAUUUUUUUUCUUAUGCAUUUAACUCUUAUUGUGUAAUUGACACUUUGUUUGUUAAUUUAGACACCUUAGUAAAAUUAGUGGAGUCUAGUAUUAGUAAUGGGUAGUUAAUUUAAGGAGACAACAAGAAUUAGUUCCAUAGGUUCCGUUUUUUCUUUUAUGUUAAAACUAUUUAUAGUAUCAUACUGUUAUUCUUUCUAUUAUUAGAAUAAUUGAUUUUCAAAAAAUAGCACUACUAUAUAUUUUGAGUUAAGGUAAUCAUGAUUUACGCUUACUAUCUUGAAAAAUUUCAAAACGUCAUUAAUACGCAAAUAUAACUUAAGUGUAUUCUAUAAACAUUCUCAUAAGCUUCAUCCAAUUGUACGUAUUUUUCUUAGUCAAAUAAUGCUAAAUAAAAGUGAUAAAAAGAGAGAGAAAAUUCAUGCCCUUCUCAUUAUAUUUAAAAAAUAAGUCUAGGUUUCUCUACAUCGCAAUAUUUAUACAAUAUAAUUUUUAUUUAAAGUUCACGUUUAUUGAAUCUCCUUUACAAGUAUUGUUUUAAACAGCACAAUUAUACUUUCGUUUAAAGCCUUAACAAUAUUUAUAAGUUGUAUUUUUAAAAUAGCAUUAGAAGUACUCUUUUAUACAAAUAAUUUCUACAAGUCUUAUUUUAAAUAGUAUUCUUACAGGUCUAUCUAUAACUUUAGCCACAUUUACAAAGCUACGUUCUUUUCUAUAAUACUACAUUCACACUUAGCCUAAUUAAAUUUUAGUUCGGUCGGUUAACCAUUGUUAAUGGAUCUUAGAGGAUGUCUAAUACCUUCCCUCUAGAUUAGUGGAACCCUUACCUCGAAUUUUGGUUUCGUAGAUUUAAAAAACAGAGUUAACUUUUGAUAUUUACUUUAACUAAAGUUAGGUGUCCUAAUUCACCAAAAUAAUUAGGUGGCGACUCCUGUACUUUAAUUAACCCCGGAAUUACCGGGAUGUUAUAAACUAUUUUGACCCCGGUUAAAAUAGGGUAUAACAGAUACAUCUAUUGAGACUCCAUCUGUUGAUAAUAAAAGUGAUGUUCAUACAGCUAUUGAGACUGUGUAUGAUCCAUCUGUUUAUAAAGUUGCCGUUGAGACUCUGUUUGAUCCAUCUGUUGAUAAAGUUACCGGAUCUCAGUCUGAGAAAAGAUCAGAUGUUGAUACAGCUAUUGAGACUCCAUCUGUUUAUAAAGUUGCGGGAUCUCAGUCUGAGAAUAGAAGUGAUGUUGGUACAGCUAUUGAGACUCUGUCUAAUCCAUCUUUUGAUACAACAACAAAAAGGAAGUCUGUAUACGAAAACAAUGAGGAGCAAACACAAGUUGAAGAGAAUAGAUCUUAUGUUGAUACACCUCAGUUAGAUGAGAAUGCUCGUGGUUCUGAUCCUGCUCGUUGUUCUGACCCUGCUUGUGGAUCUUCUCAGGUAGAUUAAGUUGUUAAUCACCCUUUUUUCUUGAUUUCUCCUCCAUUUAAUUCUUAUAUGUUUUGUUUCAAUCUGCUCAGACUAACCCUGCUCAUGGUUCUACUCAGGUAGAUUAAGCUGUUAAUCACCCUCCUUUCUUGUUUACUCCUCUAUUUAAUUCUAACAUGUUUUGUUUCAAUCUGCUCAGAUUCGUGGUUCUGACCCUGCUCGUGGUUCUUCUCAAGUAGAUUAACCUGUUAAUCACCUAUUUUCUUGUUUUCUCCUCUAUUUAAUUCUCAUAUGUUUUGUUUCAAUCUACUCAGACACGUGGUUCUGACCCUGCUCGUGGUUCUUCUCGGGUAGAUUAACCUGUUAAUCACCUCUUUUCUUGUUUUCUCCUCUAUUUAAUUUUUAUAUAGUUUGUUUCAAUCUGCGCAGACUGGUGGUUCUGACCCUGCUCGCGGUUCUUCUCAAGUAGAUUAACCUGUUAAUAACCUCUUUUCUUGUUUUCCCCAAACAUAAGCAUAAAAUGAAUUUGAAGUAAUAAUUUUAUCAAGAAUGAAAGUUAAAAUAUCAAACGCUUAAAUAAAAUUUUAUUUUUAUAUAUUUAAAGUAUAAUUUUUAAGAUUUUAAUAGUUAUGUCAUGAGAUUUUUAUUUCUUAUUACUUAUGUAUUUUUUGAAGUAUUUGUUUUAUCUAUCACUACACUGUUGAUUUUGCAAAACCCAUUUCCCGCUCUUCAACCUCUACCUUUAGACGCAUCUCAUUCAAACAUGUUGAUUAAUUAUGACUCCUAUUGUAAGUGAAGAACAUUUGAGCGGGUUUUACCAGAAAUGGAGGGGAGUGUUGUGUUACAUUACUGCAACAUAUAAUAAAGUUCAAUAUCACAAUGAGGAUUCAGAGGAAGAUGACGAUGUAGAUUCGGAGGAAGAUGACAAUGAAGAUUCGGAAGUAGACUCUUUAGGUGGGGGAAGUGGGUUUUUUGUAUCUGAGGAUGGACUGGUACUAACUUGUUUACAUGUGAUUAAAAGAGCGAUAUUUAAAGGGGUUAUCAAGGGAUGUAGGCUCAAGGGAUGGAUGCUGGAUAAGGCUGAAUUCUAUGGUGUCGAGUUGGUGUAUUAUAAACGUGAAUGAGAUAUUGCACUGUUGAAAAUGACUAGAAUAACAAGUUGUGAAUGUGCUGAACUUUGCAAUAGAUUACUCAUCAGUAAGUUUCGGUCAGCUUGUGUUGCAUUUAGGGAAUCCCAAAUAAUACCUGGGAUCAUUCGUAACUAGUAGAAUUGGAUUUCCUGUAACAAUGCGACUUUACUUAAAGACAAUCUUAUUUGUAAAGUGAUCCCACUAGCUUAGCGGUCACAUCGAAAUAUAGGGUUUUAGUUGAAAAUAUUAAUAAGAGAGGUAUCCCAAAAGAGAAAAAAGAGCUUAAGGAUUAUUGCAUGCACCUCAAUCAUGCCAAACUCCAAUCACAGAAAUAUGUAACUUUUAUAUUAACUCUGGAUCUUCUGGCGGCCCUGUGUUUUGAUCUUGAAGGAAAUAUUAUAGGAAUGGUGAUGGUGGGGGAUAGUCUCAAUAUAUUUCCAUUCAUGUUGCUGUCUUAGAUCGUGUUCUUAAAGAUUAUUUAGCACAAAAGCCGCCCAUUCAUGUUGCUGCGUCAGAUCGUGUCCUUAAGAUUCUUUAACACAAAAGCGGAUUCCCUGGAAAAUAAAACCUAUUAAAACUUGGCAGUUUCAGGUGCAGCAUUAUCGAUACCCUAAAUAAUUUGUAUAAGUAAUUUAUUUGGUUGAC